CAUUUCUCCACUUGUCCCAUAGCCUGAACCAUGGUCUGCGUGUCUAUUUCCAGAUGCACAGGCAGAAAAUGAAACGCAGGCUAAUCUUUGAAAACAAAGUGUUUUCUGGAAAGUCUCCAAUGCCGAAGAUAGAGCAUUUCUCUGGGCCUUCUUGCUCCUGUCUCUCCUUUUUCUCUUACCACCUCCAUCUGUUUAGGUAUCUUACUUUUAGCCCAACACUGCCCAUCUGUGAUUCUUCAUUAUGACUUAGCUGGCCCAUCCACAGGUCACUGCUGACGUUCUCCCAUCAAACAAGCCUGCAUAGCUGAAGCCCAAAGGAAUCUGAACCCUUAUAUGAAGAUUAACGUGUUCUCAUCCAAAAAGUGGAACUCCAUGGCAGGCUUUGAACUAGUCAUCCAGGAGUUAUUACAUGCUGACAUUGGUGCCCUGGAGGCACAUGCUCAGGAGGAAAUUCAGCUGCUAUCUGAUUGUUUCAAGAGUGACACUGAACUCUGAUUUGAAUGAGGCAGAGGUUGUGUAUAAACCUGCUCUAAGAAUAUCAGACUUGCAGCCAUGAACUCCCAGCAAUGACCCUCAGCAAAACAAUGAAAUUGACUUUUUGCUCCCUCAGCAGUGCUUUGCUAGCAUGCAUUGUAUUAUAGGAGAAGAUCAUCCAAAUGUUGGUAGGAACGAUGGACUCAUUCGGAACCCACUACCCCCACUUCCAUUUAACGGGAUUGCAGAACCAUUUUACAGUGUGUUCCCACAACAAAAGCCCUCCAACUAGUAAGGAUAUAUUCCAGGACAGAGAGCUCAGAAGGGUGGGAGACAUGACACCAUUAAAGCAUACUGAAAACAUUUUUUUGUAGUCUACAAGGUUGUCAGAUAAAAGACUUUGAGUUAAAGCUCUGUUAAGGCAGAGCUUGGGAACAGCAUUAGCUGAGAGAGCUGUUUCAAUGCUGUGAUCUGCAAUAGUACAGCCGAGUUCAAUCUGUGUGGAAGAAAUGGGCUCUCUGCAGGGCGAGCGAGCUACAAGCUGGGCUGAGUUCUCGCAGAGGCAACAGGCUUGGCUGAAGAAUGAGCUUAAUGUACAAAGUGGGUGUGCUGAUCAGAGAUGGAACUGUUUAGCUAGCUCAUUUCUCAGCAGAGUAACACAAUCUGGGAAGAAGCCUCACUUCAAUUUGAAAUGGAACUGAAAGGAUUCAUGUUUUCUGUGCUACCACACUGGUGAUGUCCAGUCUCUCUCUUCUUUUCCCCUCCAUCCUGCUUCUUGUGAUCCUCAUGGGGAAUAAGUGAAAC
rnacentral:lncRNA from 12 species